AACUUGAAUCCGAAAUUCGAGGGGUAGUCAAUCGAAGGUCGCCCGCGUGGAGUCGAUACAAUCUGCAUUUUUUGGGGUCAGUCAAGCACAUCCUGUGCCUCGAGCCUGCCGAGGAUACCGGAAUGCAUAUCCUGCGGCGAUUUUAUUCAUGACGCUGCAACCAAUGAGGGCUCCAGCCACAUCCCGGCCAAAAACUGAGACGGUCUUAGUCUCCAUUUCGGUUUCAGUUGCUUCUAUUUCGCACAGAGCAGCCCAGUUGAGCUCACAAUGAAAACCGCAAAGUCAUCUCCGGUUUAUUUACUGGCUAGCAGAAAAU
ensembl:ncRNA lncRNA:CR44971 long non-coding RNA:CR44971